CAGCGCCACGAGUGGCAAUCGCGAUUAUUGGGCCUAAAGCGUCCGUAGCCGGUUCAGUAAAUCCUUUGUGAAAUCGCCAGGCUUAACCUGGCGGCGUGCAGGGGACACUGCUGAACUCGAGACCGGGAGGAGUUAGAAGUAUUUUGGGGGGAGCGGUAAAAUGCUAUAAUCCCCGAAGGACUACCUAUGGCGAAGGCAUCUAACUAGAACGGAUCUGACGGUGAGGGACGAAAGCCAGGGGAGCGAACCGGAUUAGAUACCCGAGUAGUCC
rnacentral:rRNA from 1 species